rnacentral:rRNA from 1 species
CCUACGGGCGGCAGCAGUGGGGAAUAUUGCGCAAUGGGCGAAAGCCUGACGCAGCGACGCCGCGUGAGGGAUGAAGGUCUUCGGAUCGUAAACCUCUGUCAGCAGGGAAGAACGGUCACUGUGCUAAUCAGCAGUGAAUUGACGGUACCUGCAAAGGAAGCACCGGCUAACUCCGUGCCAGCAGCCGCGGUAAUAAGGAGGGUGCGAGCGUUAAUCGGAAUUACUGGGCGUAAAGCGCUCGUAGGCGGUAUGUCAAGUCAAGGGGGAAAUCCCCGCGCUCAACGUGGGAACUGCCUUUGAAACUGGUAAACUGGAGUGUGUGAGAGGAUAGUGGAAUUCCAGGUGUAGGAGUGAAAUCCGUAGAUAUCUGGAGGAACAUCAGUGGCGAAGGCGACUAUCUGGCACAUAACUGACGCUGAGGAGCGAAAGCGUGGGUAGCAAACAGGAUUAGAUACCCCAGUAGUC